UGGGGAAUUUUGGACAAUGGGCGAAAGCCUGAUCCAGCAAUGCCGCGUGUGUGAAGAAGGCCUUCGGGUUGUAAAGCACUUUUGUCCGGAAAGAAAUCCUUGGCUCUAAUACAGUCGGGGGAUGACGGUACCGGAAGAAUAAGCACCGGCUAACUACGUGCCAGCAGCCGCGGUAAUACGUAGGGUGCAAGCGUUAAUCGGAAUUACUGGGCGUAAAGCGUGCGCAGGCGGUUUGCUAAGACCGAUGUGAAAUCCCCGGGCUCAACCUGGGAACUGCAUUGGUGACUGGCAGGCUAGAGUAUGGCAGAGGGGGGUAGAAUUCCACGUGUAGCAGUGAAAUGCGUAGAGAUGUGGAGGAAUACCGAUGGCGAAGGCAGCCCCUGGGCCAAUACUGACGCUCAUGCACGAAAGCGUGGGGAGCAAACAGGAUUAGAUACCCUGGUAGUCCACGCCCUAAACGAUGUCAACUAGUUGUUGGGGAUUCAUUCCUUAGUAACGUAGCUAACGCGUGAAGUUGACCGCCUGGGGAGUACGGUCGCAAGAUUAAAACUU
rnacentral:rRNA from 1 species